GACGAACGCUGGCGGCGUGCUUAACACAUGCAAGUCGAACGGAAAGGCCCUGCUUUUGGGGGGUGCUCGAGUGGCGAACGGGUGAGUAACACGUGAGUAACCUGCCCUUGACUUUGGGAUAACUUCAGGAAACUGGGUCUAAUACCGGCUAGGAGCUCCUGCUGCAUGGUGGGGGUUGGAAAGUUUCGGCGGUUGGGGAUGGACUCGCGGCUUAUCAGCUUGUUGGUGGGGUAGUGGCUUACCAAGGCUUUGACGGGUAGCCGGCCUGAGAGGGUGACCGGCCAAAUUGGGACUGAGAUACGGCCCAGACUCCUACGGGAGGCAGCAGUGGGGAAUAUUGCACAAUGGGCGGAAGCCUGAUGCAGCAACGCAGCGUGCGGGAUGACGGCCUUCGGGUUGUAAACCGCUUUCGCCUGUGACGAAGCGUGAGUGACGGUAAUGGGUAAAGAAGCACCGGCUAACUACGUG
rnacentral:rRNA from 1 species